AUACUUACCUGGCAGGAGAGAUACCAUGAUCACGAAGGUGGUUUUCUCGGGGCGAGGCUUAUCUAUUGCACUGAGGAUGGGUUGACCUUUGUGAUUUCCCCAAAUGUGGGAAACUUGACUGCAUCAUUUAUGGUAGUGGGGGACUGUGUCCAUGCUUUCUCUUG
ensembl:snRNA U1 U1 spliceosomal RNA